AGCAGGCGGCGAGGCGACCGCCGAUCGACCGGUGGUAGAUCGUGGAUCAGGGAAACCGAAGGCAGGAGAAGCAGGCGGCUGCCGGUCGGAGCGUGAGGUGAACUGAAUUUCAGAAAUGCCUCGUAAGGAGAAGAGGAAGAAACGGCUACAAAAGGAGCUGUGUGAGGCUGCUAAAGGCAGUGGAUCCCUCACCAGCUGGAUUAAAAAGAGCACAGAUUAACAGCAAGUGGAGGGUGAUAGUUCAGAUGAGGAGGAUGGAAGGAGGAAGUGAGGCAAAGACUGAGUCACAGGCAGAGCCUGGAGAGAAUAUAGAGGAAAGGACAAGGCAGGAGAAAGAGACUGGAGUGAGAAAGUCAGAGAGUGAGACAGAGCCCAGAGAGGAGGAGAGUGAAGCUAGUGAAGCCAUAGAGAGGACAUUCUCAAACCUACUUGGACUUGCACACCCAACUGAUCCUGCCCAUGUCAUGCAAUUCCACAUACAGUAUGAUGAGGCCUUUAUUCAAAUGUGUGAUAAUAUUGGACCCUGCC
ensembl:lncRNA